rnacentral:snRNA from 1 species
CUGCUCGCAUCAGCAGCACAUAUUCUAAAACUAGACCGAUGCAGAGAUUAGUAUGGCCCUUGUGGAAGGAUAACACGCAAAUUCAUGGGAAGUUCCAUAUUACA